GGGCGUGUAGCUCAGUUGGUAGAGCGUGUCAUUAGCAUCUACCUAUCUUGACAAGGUCUUUGGUUCGAUUCCUAACUCGUCCA